rnacentral:lncRNA from 1 species
CUGGAACUGAAAACUAUAUCCUUUACUGCAGUCUGAACCAGCUUUCCUAGGCCCCUCAGCAAUUCAGGCUCUCCUGAAAUUGUAUUUCUUUUUUGUUGAUGAUCAAACUUUUAAUAUCCAUCCAUAGUAUCUGGAAUGAGCAUCUCCACCAAGACUCUGAGCUCCACAAUAGUCUUUGGUUCUGAUCUCAGUCUAGCCACACUGUGCAGUCCUGUGGCCUGCCUUUCAUGUGGUGAGUGAACACACUUCAUGUAACUGUUGGUUCCUUCUCCACAUUCACAAUAACC